rnacentral:rRNA from 1 species
UGGGGAAUAUUGGACAAUGGGCGCAAGCCUGAUCCAGCCAUGCCGCGUGGAUGAAGAAGGCCCUAGGGUUGUAAAGUCCUUUCGCUAGGGAAGAUAAUGACGGUACCUAGUAAAGAAGCCCCGGCUAAUUUCGUGCCAGCAGCCGCGGUAAUACGAAAGGGGCUAGCGUUGUUCGGAAUUACUGGGCGUAAAGCGCACGUAGGCGGCCUUGUAAGUUGGGGGUGAAAUCCCGGGGCUCAACCCCGGAACUGCCUCCAAAACUACAAAGCUUGAGGAUGCGAGAGGAUAGUGGAAUUCCGAGUGUAGAGGUGAAAUUCGUAGAUAUUCGGAAGAACACCAGUGGCGAAGGCGACUGUCUGGCGCAUAUCUGACGCUGAGGUGCGAAAGCGUGGGGAGCAAACAGGAUUAGAUACCCGUGUAGUCC